UACGUAGGGUGCGAGCGUUGUCCGGAAUUACUGGGCGUAAAGAGCUCGUAGGUGGUUUGUCGCGUUGUUCGUGAAAACUCACAGCUCAACUGUGGGCGUGCGGGCGAUACGGGCAGACUGGAGUACUGCAGGGGAGACUGGAAUUCCUGGUGUAGCGGUGAAAUGCGCAGAUAUCAGGAGGAACACCGGUGGCGAAGGCGGGGUCUCUGGGCCGAUACUGACGCUGAGGAGCGAAAGCGUGGGGGAGCGAACAGG
rnacentral:rRNA from 1 species